GCAGGUAGACCAGCAUAUAUCAUUAUAAUACAGUGCAGGUAGACCAGCAUAUAUCAUUAUAAUACAGUGCAGGUAGACUAGCAUAUAUCAUUAUAAUACAGUGCAGGUAGACUAGCAUAUAUCAUUAUAAUACAGGUAGACCAGCAUAUAUCAUUAUAAUACAGUGCAGGUAGACCAGCAUAUAUCAUUAUAAUACAGUGCAGGUAGACCAGCAUAUAUCAUUAUAAUACAGUGCAGGUAGACUAGCAUAUAUCAUUAUAA